AGACUGCUGUGCUAGCAAUCAGCGAGACUCCGUGGGCUAGGACCCUCCGAGCCAGGUGCAGGAUAUAAUCUCAUUGUGCGCCGCUUUUUUAAGUCCGUUGGAAAAGCGCAGUAUUCGGGUGGGAGUGACCCGAUUUUCCAGGUGCCGUCCAUCACCCCUUUCUUUGACUCGGAAAGGGAACUCCCUGACCCCUUGCGCUUCCCGAGUGAGGCAAUGCCUCGCCCUGCUUCGGCUCCGGCACGGUGCGCGCACCCACUGACCUGCGCCCACUGUUUGGCACUCCCUAGCGAGAUGAACCCGAUACCUCAGAUGGAAAUGCAGAAAUCACCUGUCUUCUGCGUCGCUCAGGCUGGGAGCUGUAGAUUGGAGCGGUUCCUAUUCUGCCAUCUUGGCUCCUCCCUAUACUAUCUUCUAGUUUCUUAAGUUGUAAAGGUUCCUUGGAGUCUCAGAAAAACCCAGUGAAUCCAGUCUCAAGUGAACCCAGUGAUGGUGAGGAAAGUGAGGCUUGGAGAGACUAAGUAACUUGCCCAGUGUCACAAAACUAGAAGGCAGCAGAGCCAGUAUUUGAACCCAGAUCUGUCGACUGUCAAGCCCAUAUUCUAUUAUACACAGUGUUUUUACCUGAAAACACAAAAUUACAUAUUUAGAAGAAUUGUAUAAAUAAACAGUUUUAUAUACAUAUGCAUAUUUAUCCAGUUUGUAUUACUGGAGCAAUUAAGAGCAAGAUAAUCUUUGCUCUGUUCUAAUUGUGCACUUGGCUAAACUCAAAUACCAAAAUGCAGAAAUUACUAACCUUCCUCUGUAUUUUAAAUUAUACUUUAGGGAGUGGGUGGAAGGUUUCCUUUUU
rnacentral:lncRNA from 10 species